rnacentral:rRNA from 1 species
AAUUCGAAGCAACGCGAAGAACCUUACCAGGUCUUGACAUCCACGAAUCCUUCUGAAAGGAAGGAGUGCCUUCGGGAGCGUUGAGACAGGUGGUGCAUGGUUGUCGUCAGCUCGUGUCGUGAGAUGUUGGGUUAAGUCCCGCAACGAGCGCAACCCUUGCUAUUAGUUGCUAACAGGUUAAGCUGAGCACUCUAAUGGGACUGCCGGUGACAAGCCGGAGGAAGGUGGGGAUGACGUCAAAUCAUCAUGCCCUUUAUGACCUGGGCUACACACGUGCUACAAUGGAUGGUACAGAGAGCAGCGAGGCAGCGAUGUGGAGCGAAUCUCAAAAAGCCAUUCUCAGUUCGGAUUGGAGUCUGCAACUCGACUCCAUGAAGUCGGAAUCGCUAGUAAUCGCGAAUCAGCAUGUCGCGGUGAAUGCGUUCCCGGGCCUU